GAUAUGUGAAUACAUAGCAUAUCAGAAGGCACACCCGGAGAACUGAAACAUCUUAGUACCCGGAGGAAGAGAAAGAAAAUUCGAUUCCCUUAGUAGCGGCGAGCGAAACGGGAAGAGCCCAAACCAACAAGCUUGCUUGUUGGGGUUGUAGGACACUCUAUACGGAGUUACAAAGGACGACAUUAGACGAAUCAUCUGGAAAGAUGAAUCAAAGAAGGUAAUAAUCCUGUAGUCGAAAAUGUUGUCUCUCUUGAGUGGAUCCUGAGUACGACGGAGCACGUGAAAUUCCGUCGGAAUCUGGGAGGACCAUCUCCUAAGGCUAAAUACUCUCUAGUGACCGAUAGUGAACCAGUACCGUGAGGGAAAGGUGAAAAGCACCCCGGAAGGGGAGUGAAAUAGAACCUGAAACCGUGUGCUUACAAGUAGUCAGAGCCCGUUAAUGGGUGAUGGCGUGCCUUUUGUAGAAUGAACCGGCGAGUUACGAUUUGAUGCAAGGUUAAGCAGUAAAUGUGGAGCCGUAGCGAAAGCGAGUCUGAAUAGGGCGUUUAGUAUUUGGUCGUAGACCCGAAACCAGGUGAUCUACCCUUGGUCAGGUUGAAGUUCAGGUAACACUGAAUGGAGGACCGAACCGACUUACGUUGAAAAGUGAGCGGAUGAACUGAGGGUAGCGGAGAAAUUCCAAUCGAACCUGGAGAUAGCUGGUUCUCUCCGAAAUAGCUUUAGGGCUAGCCUCAAGUGAUGAUUAUUGGAGGUAGAGCACUGUUUGGACGAGGGGCCCCUCUCGGGUUACCGAAUUCAGACAAACUCCGAAUGCCAAUU
rnacentral:rRNA from 1 species